GUGACAAGGUAGGGGUGGUAUACAGAAGAUAGCCCUAUUUGGUAAAAGACCAAGUGGGGUGGCAGGUAGCCGAGUGGGUAGAGCAUUGAGUUAGUAACAGAAAGGUUGCUGGCUCGAAUCCUUGAGCUGACGAUAAAUAUUUCUCGUUUGGCUGCUGAAUAAGGCAAUUAACUCACUGUUCCCCGGUAGGCUGUCAUUGUAAGUAACAAUUUGUCCUUAACUGACUUGCCUUGUUAAAUAAUGUUUUUUUUAAACAAUUAUGGCAAGAACAUUACAAUUAAGGGAAGAGAAACAACAGUCCAUCAUUACUUUUAGACACUAAAGUCAGUCAGUAAAGAACAUUCAAAGUUUCUUGAAGUGCUAUGAUGAAACUGGCUCUUAUGAGGAUCCCCACAGGAAAGGAAGAGUUACUUCUGCUGCACAGGAUAAGUUCAUUAGAGUAAACUGCAGCUCAUAUUGCAGCCCAAAUAAAUGCUUCACAGAGUUCAAGUAACAGACACGUCUUAACAUCAACUGUUCAGAGGAGGUUGCGUGAAUCAGGCAUUCAUGGUCGAAUUGCUGCAAAGAAACCACUACUAAAGGACACCAAUAAUAAGAGACUUGCUUGGGCAAAGAAACACGAGCAAUGGACAUUAGACUGGUGGAAAUCUGUCCUUUCUGAUGAGUCCAAAUUUGAGAUUUGGUUCCAACUGCCGUGUCUUUGAGAGACGCGGAGUAGGUGAACGAAUGGUCUCCGCAUGUGUGGUUCCCACCGUGAAGCAUGGAUGAACAGGUGUGAUGGUUGUUACCAACAAGUGAGGUCUCGAACUAAAAGGAGCUACCACUGUACUGUACAAGGGGCCUGCGCUUCUUCUAGGACAACAAGUUUGAGGAGGUGGAGAAGGGAGACACCUGCCCUGCAGGAUGGAUGUCGAGAAGGGCAAGAUUGAGGACACGGGAGGCAGCGGCGGCUCCUACUCCAUCAAGACCCAGUUCAACUCAGAGGAGCAGUGGACCAAGGUGCUCAAGUUCAUGUUGACCAACCUCAAGUGGGGCCUGGUGUGGGUGUCGUCUCAGUUUUACAACCGAUAGAGGAGGAAGAUGAGGAAUCACCCUGGGUGUGCCCCUUGACCCUUCUAAAACCACCAUUUCGUCACAAUGUGUGACUCUCUAAAGGUCUUCUUCUACAAUGCUCUCCUUGCUUCCCUGUGAUGUUUUGAGAGGGUGGGGAGAAGACUGGAGGAAGGACUUUUGAGAUUCACCACAGGUGUGAGUUCCAAUCGAGUACGUCAUGUUUCCUUGUUUGAUUUCCACAUUGACCAUAUGAAAGGACAAAAUAAAAACUGUUAAAUUGUUCACAUUCAAAUCCGCCUAGACUCAUAGGUGUUAUGAAGGGAGCUAUCUGAGACUUUUGGAACACAUUCCAGGAUUGAGUCCUAAUAGUAGCUAAGUGGCUUCUGGUUGUGUAUUUUCCUUCAUAUGCACAUAUCUUAUGACACUGGAUAGGUGAAAGCUGUUGUUUCCAAUUGACCUGUUCAAUUCUUAUAGAUCAGUACACAUGAAGGGAAGGUGUGAAGGACACGUUGAACUACUGAGAUGCAGCACUGGAAUGGGUUCUUAUGUAUCACAUGCUUCUUACUUUGCUCCAGAAGCAAAGCUGGAGAGUCAUGUAUCUGGUUUUCUGCCUAUUUUUCUUCAAUUGGUUUGUGUCUUUGUGGUUCAACUCCACUCUAGCCACAGAAUAAUGUAAAUGUUUAUGUUUUAAUAGUUUUCCUUUUACUGUGCUGACAAGGUAAAGAUGGUUUAAUUUCACCAUGCGUUGGAACAGCAUUGGAACGUUUGCCUUGUCUGUUCUCUUGUCUCCCCAAUCGCAGGGCGCACCAAGUGUCUACCGAAAGCUUUGGCGUUGGGAUUAUGCUGUGCUUUUGUUCAUUGGCAACUUCAACAAGGCAAUACUUUUACUACAAGUGACUUCUUGGUGUAGAUUUAAAUGUAG